UCCCUUUCUCGGUCUCGGUCUACGCGUGGCACUUGUUGCGCUUCAACAACUGUUGCUGCUGCUGCUGCUUUUGCUGCUGUUUCUCCUGCUGCAACA